ACACGACUACAUUAGAUACCCGUGUAGUCCCAGCCGUAAACUAUGCUCGCUAGGUGUCAGGCAUGGCGCGACCGUGUCUGGUGCCGCAGGGAAGCCGUGAAGCGAGCCACCUGGGAAGUACGGCCGCAAGGCUGAAACUUAAAGGAAUUGGUGGGGGAGCACAACAACGGGUGGAGCCUGCGGUUUAAUUGGACUCAACGCCGGACAACUCACCGGGGACGACAGCAAUAUGUAGGCCAGGCUGAAGACCUUGCCUGAAUCGCUG
rnacentral:rRNA from 1 species